rnacentral:rRNA from 1 species
UGAGGAAUAUUGCUCAAUGGGCGAAAGCCUGAAGCAGCAACGCCGCGUGCGCGAUGAAGGUCUUCGGAUCGUAAAGCGCUUUUGAGAGGGACGAGAUAGGACGGUACCUCUUGAAUAAGUCACGGCUAACUACGUGCCAGCAGCCGCGGUAAAACGUAGGUGGCAAGCGUUAUCCGGAUUCACUGGGCGUAAAGCGCGUGCAGGUGGCUUCGUAAGUUGGACGUUAAAUCUUUCGGCCUAACCGGGAAGUGUCGUUCAAUACUGCGGGGCUUGAGGGUAGAAGAGGGGGGUGGAAUUGCCGGUGUAGUGGUGAAAUGCGUAGAUAUCGGCAGGAACACCUGUGGCGAAAGCGGCCCCCUGGUCUGCUCCUGACACUCAGACGCGAAAGCUAGGGGAGUGAACG